GCAGCAAGCGGCGCCGCGGCGCAGUUGAUUCACGCAUGCUGCUCCUUGUGUGUGUGUUCUUCAGGAAAGCUACGCAAUUCCCUGCUGUUGCGUAUACCUG
rnacentral:lncRNA from 1 species